rnacentral:lncRNA from 1 species
CUUUCUGAAAACAGGGAAUCAUUUGAAAAAAAAAAAUAGAGUUCGCAUAAGGAGAAAAAGUGAUAUGGCUAGUUGAUUGGCUAAGAACACAAUGGCAGAUUGAUAAACAACCUGCUCGCCUUCCCUAGGAGGCUCUAAGCUUUGAGGUUUAUCUUCUGCUUGAACUAAUCUAUUGCGCCUAUGGCUCUUAUAUAAUGAGCCGGCUUACAAAAUCCCAACUAACUAGGACUCUAUCUCUAAUCUGAACCUAAACUAAUUAGCCUCUCCUGGAGGAGGCGGGCCCUUGUUCCUGCGGUGAAACUUCUUGCCGAAGAAGUUGUCCACAACACUUCCGCCCACCUGACAGAAAAGCUCGUCCUCGAGCUUGAAAUCUGGGUAGCUCUCUUUGAAAGUGUGAAGCGGCUCCCAAGUAGCAUCAGCAGCUCCACGACCUACCCAUUGCACCAGAAGAUCCCAGGAGGUGGCUGUCAGCUUGGCACGCACCACCUUCGCCGGAGUAGGCACUGCGCGACCAUGAACCACAGGCGGCAAGGCGACGAUGUGCUCAGGCACAGGACCCUGGUGCUUCUUCAGAAAGACCACAUGAAAGACAUCAUGGAUCUGAGCCUUUGGGGGUAGGCAAAGACGGUAUGCCACCGACCCAUGCGUUUGACCACUUGAAAAGGCCCAUAGAAGCGGGGAGCAAGCUUGGCGUUGGACUUGUCAGUGAUGGCCAUGGCUGAGUGUUGAUGCAGGCGCAGCCAUGCCCAUUCGCCCACCACAAACUCCAGCGCUCGGUGAGCUUUGUCAUGCGUUGCCUUCAUGUAGUCCUGCGCCUGAAGAAGACGUUUCCGGAUUUCUGCCAGAAACUCAUCCCGCUGCACAAGCUGCCUGUCCAACGCCACCACACGUGCCAGGCUCGGCUGGUAGGACAACAGGGAGGGAGGAUCCCGGCCAAACACCACCCGAAAUGGCGUGCACUACAAGGCGGACUGGUAGGAUGUGUUGUAGCAGUAUUCUGCCCCCAAGGCAACCAGCGCAGCCAGCUGCGAGGACGGUCGCCCACCAAGCAGCGAAGAUACACCCCCAGCACGCGAUUUGUCACCUCUGAUUGACCAUCUGUCUGCGGGCGAAAGGCGGAGCUGAGGCGCCACUUGACGCCCGCGAUGAUCCCUUGCUCCAACAUCGCCUGGCAUUGGGCCUCAAUCUCAUCUUUCAGCAGCUGCGGGUAGCGGUAGGGCCGCACCGCCACUGGAGGAGUCGCCGGCAGGAGGUGUAUGUGGUGGUUGAAAGCCCGCGGCGGGGGAAGGCCCGACGGCGUGGCAAACAAAUCGGCGAAAUCCUGGAGGAGCAGCUCCAGCAGGUUGGUGGACUAAGUGAGGGCCAGCCGUGGAGAAGGUCGAGCGUUGACCCCGAACCACUUGACGCGGUGGUCCUGGUGCCAGAAUGCCAUGGACAACCGAUUGAAGUCCCAAAGGAUGGGUCGCAGGGUGCGUAGCCACUCGCAACCCAGAACGAGCUCGUAGCCGUCGAGUGGGAUGACGAACAGGUUGAUGCAGAACUCCUCCUGGCCGAUGUGGACGACAACGUUCCGGCAGACGCCGGCGGAUGGCACGCGGUCGCCAUUGGCAACACCGACGGUGAGGCCCAGUCGUGCCUCGGGCGUGAGCCCAAGCCGGGCGGCGGUGUCUGCGGCGAUGAACGAAUGGGUGGAUUCUGAAUCCACCAAGGCGGUGAGGCUGACGGCGUGGACGACGGUGGUAAGCUGUAAGGUGGAACUCGUUUGGAUGCUAGUGGUGGCAUUGACAGAUAUUGUCAGCUCGUCCUUGGCCGCGCCAUCAGAGUCGUCGUUGCCCUCUAGUUCCAUCCAGUAGAUGCCCUUCAUGGAACAUUGCUUGGAGUGCUCGCGCGAGAACUUCUCCGGGCAAUUAAAACACAGGCCGGCGAGGCGGCGCUGCACCAUCUCCUCUGGCAUGAGGCGCAUGAAGCGCACACCUGGCGGAGCAGCCGGCUUGACUGGCGCGCCUGGCGUCGUAGACGAAGCACUGUAUGCUGGCGGUGUCAAUGGAGACCGCGCCAGGGUGGCGUGAUGAUGAACGCGUCGAACACACCAAGGAACAACAGCCGUCAUCAACCACCUGGGUGCGGCGCUCGUAGGCCCGGGCGAGUGCCAUGGCGUCCUCUAGGGUCUCGGGCUUAUGCAGCUCCACGUCGAUGCUCAUUGGUUGGAGGAGGCCGGUGGUGAAGAUAUCGAUCUGUUGUUGCUCGGUGACGCCCUCGCAUCGCGCUGGGAGCUUGAGGAAUUGCUCCUGGUAGCUGUCGACGGAGCCCGUGCGACGUAGAUGGGUCAGCUCGCCGAGGGGAUUGCUGCGCACCAGGGGGCCAAACCGCUUGUUAACGCCUUCGACGAAAGCGGGCCAAGUGGGGACACCGCGAUUCUUCUCCAGGCGGUAGUACCAUUGGCCGGCGGCGUCCUCCAAGUAGAAUGUCGCCGUCCAGACCUUCUGGUCCUCCGGCGUGCCCUGCGAGCGAAAGAACUGCUCGCACUUGUGAAGCUAGCCCAGGGGAUCCUCGAUGCCGUCGUACUUGGGGAAGCGAAGCUUGUGGACGGGCUGUGGCGGCAGCCCAUGCUUGCCAUCGCCGGGUGAUGAGGAACCAGAGGCGUCGAAGCGGCCGUGCUUCUCCAGCACUUGUGUCUGGACGUUGCUGAUGGACGAGGAGAGGCAGCCCUGUUCCUGGCGGACGCUGCCAAGCUCCCGAUCCAACUUCUGGCUGAUGUCGUUCAUCUUGGCAAUCAUCUUGGCGAUGGCGUCCUCGAAAACAGACUGGGUGACGAAGGGGUCACCCAUGGUUGCGGUGGAGCGGUGGGUUUGGCGAUAGAAACUUCAGCGGAAGGGUGAUGGCCAGGGAGAACAGGAAACAGGAACGGUGGAAGGCUGAUACCAGAGAUGAUAUGGCUAGUUGAUUGGCUAAGAACACAAGGGCAGAUUGAUAAACAACCUGCUCGCCCUCCCUAGGAGGCUCUGAGCUUUGAGGUUUAUCUUCUGCUUGAACUAAUCUAUUGCGCCUAUGGCUCUUAUAUAAUGAGCCGGGUUACAAAAUCCCAACUAACUAGGACUCUAUCUCUAAUCUGAAUCUAAACUAAUUAGCCUCUCCUGGAGGAGGCGGGCCCUUAUUCCUGCGGUGGAACUUCUUGCCGAAGAAGUUGUCCACAACAAAAAGGCACCUUCAGGUAGUUCAAAAAUGGCAUGAACAUUUCGCACCUUG